rnacentral:tRNA from 1 species
GCCGGGAUGGUGGAAUCGGUAGACGCGCCGGACUCAAAAUCCGGUGGGGGCCAACCCCCGUGCGGGUUCGAGUCCCGCUCCCGGCACCA